UGGAUUUCUAAAAAUUUGAACCCGAGCCCGGCUCCAAACCCGAGAUCUGAAUCCGACGAAUUUUAAAAAUUCAUAUCCAAAUUCGAAUCCGACCAAAAAUUUGAAACUCGAAUCCGAAUCCGAAAAUUUAAACCCGAAACAAUUAUUUUUUUUUCAAUAUUUCAAAAUAUAAUAUAUUAAAUCUAAAUUUUUAAAAUAUAAAUUCAAAUAUAACAUCAAAUAUAUAUAUAUAUAUAUAUACUAGUUGAAUGUACGUGCAAAUGCACGUAACAAUUAUUAUAAUUUAUUUCAAAUUAAUAUAAAUUUGUACAUUAUAUAUAUCCAAAAUUUUACAAUAAAAAUUAUAUUUAUAAAUUAAUAUAUUAUAUUUUAUUAGAAAAUAUUUACAAUAUCCUAUAAUGUUCUUUUUUUUAUAUACAUCAAAUAUUUUUAUAUACUUUUUUAUUUCAGAUGAAUCAACUUUAAAUAUGUAUUUUAAACUAAAAGCAUUAAAAUUUAAUUCACAUUUACUUUAAAAUUUAAAAUUUAAUUUUGAUCCACUGUAAUAAAAAAAUUAAUUGUUAAUUCAAAUUUGAUACAAAUUAAAUUUAAUUCAUAAUUUAAACUCAAAUUUUAAUUUUAAUGUAAAAUAGAUGAAUAAAUAUUUGAGAUAUUUUUAAUUUUGAUCAUAACCGUUUGUUUUUAUUUGAGAUAUUUUUUAACAAAUUGAUUAUAAUCGUCCCUAGAAUUAAAUUUAUAAAUGGAUAGGAAUGAUGCUUUUUAGGGCUUGUUUGGUUCAUCCAUUUUGGGUAUGGAAUCGGAAUCGGUUUGAUCAAAUUCGGAUAAUUUUGUUUGGUUCGCAUAAAUCGGUUUGGGAUUCCUAUUCCGGACUGGAAUGGGAAUGGCCCAUUAGCCUUCAACUUGUUUCCGGUCUUCUAGCCCGGAUUGAAAUUUCAUUUCGGAAGCCCACUAAGUCCUCGAAGCCCAUGUGACCAUCUCACCCUCCUUCUCUUCACCCAUUUCUCAUCAAAAAAAAAAAAAAAACCUAUCCUCUCUCAAAACUCUAUCCCUAAUCCACAUGAAUAAAAGUUUUUAAAAAUAAAUUUGAUAUUUUUUUUGAAAAACUUAUUAGAGAAUAGUAUUAUAUUUUUCAUAAAUUUUAAAUAAUAUAAAUUUAUAUUUGAGAGUAAAAUUAGUAUUAUAGUAUCCUAUAAUUUUUUUAGUUUAUACGAAUCAAAUAAUGAAAUGUGAAUAACUCAUUCCAAUUCCGAAUCCACAAAUAAACCAAACAUCUUGGGGAAGUGGGUCAUUCCAAUUACCAUUCCAAUUCAUUCUCAUUCCAUUAUCCAUUCCAAUUCCACCCUUGAAUCAAACAAGCCUUAUAGAUGAUUAUAACGGUUUUUAUUUGAGAUAUUUUUUAAGGAAUAGAUAUUAAUAGAUGUAGAGAUUUAAUAGAUUGAUCAUAACUGUUCAUUUUAUUUGAGAUAUUUUUAACAAAUUAAUCAUAACCAUUGUAGAGAAUAUUAUUUUAUUCUUUUUUAGAUUCCGUCUGUCAUUGUCGGAAUUCCUAUACGCUUUUAUAUAUAGUAUAUAUAUAUAUAUAUAUAUAUAUAUAUAUAUAUAAAAUACAAAAUAAAUUCGGGUUCGGAUCGAAUUCGGGUUGGGUUCGGAUACAAUCAAAUUCCAUAUCUAAAUUCAUAUCGGUCGAGUUUUUAUAUUUUAUAUCCAUAUCUAAAUUCAUAUCCAUAUACGUCGAAUAUAUUCAUUUUAUUCGGAUUCGAAUUAGGAUAAAAUUUUGAAUAUUCAUAUCUAUUGACAUUUUAAUGUAAACCCU
rnacentral:lncRNA from 1 species